GUAGAGGGGAAUUGGGAAAAUCACCCGCACAAAAUUCAUAAUGCUAGAAUGCAUUCAUAACCAAGACACCAUGCUGACAGACAAAAGCAAAAACAAUUUCAGCAUAUAAUUUCAUUUAAAUACAAAAAAACUCCCUAAAUAAUCUCAGGCAAAUAAAUAAAUUCUGUCCUCAUAUUUCUUCUGCUCACUGAUUCCUUGCAUUUUAUUUGCGCCGCUUAGAUCCCUGUACACAUUGUAUUACGGUUCACUGUU
rnacentral:lncRNA from 1 species